rnacentral:rRNA from 1 species
AGUGAACGCUGGCGGUAGGCCUAACACAUGCAAGUCGAACGGCAGCACAGGAGAGCUUGCUCUCUGGGUGGCGAGUGGCGGACGGGUGAGGAAUACAUCGGAAUCUACUCUGUCGUGGGGGAUAACGUAGGGAAACUUACGCUAAUACCGCAUACGACCUACGGGUGAAAGCAGGGGACCUUCGGGCCUUGCGCGAUUGAAUGAGCCGAUGUCGGAUUAGCUAGUUGGCGGGGUAAAGGCCCACCAAGGCGACGAUCCGUAGCUGGUCUGAGAGGUUGAUCAGCCACACUGGAACUGAGACACGGUCCAGACUCCUACGGGAGGCAGCAGUGGGGAAUAUUGGACAAUGGGCGCAAGCCUGAUCCAGCCAUACCGCGUGGGUGAAGAAGGCCUUCGGGUUGUAAAGCCCUUUUGUUGGGAAAGAAAUCCAGCUGGCUAAUACCCGGUUGGGAUGACGGUACCCAAAGAAUAAGCACCGGCUAACUUCGUGCAGCAGCCGCGGUAA